GAUGAACGCUGGCGGCGUGCCUAAUACAUGCAAGUCGAGCGAACGGACGAGAAGCUUGCUUCUCUGAUGUUAGCGGCGGACGGGUGAGUAACACGUGGAUAACCUACCUAUAAGACUGGGAUAACUUCGGGAAACCGGAGCUAAUACCGGAUAAUAUUUUGAACCGCAUGGUUCAAAAGUGAAAGACGGUCUUGCUGUCACUUAUAGAUGGAUCCGCGCUGCAUUAGCUAGUUGGUAAGGUAACGGCUUACCAAGGCAACGAUGCAUAGCCGACCUGAGAGGGAGAUAGGGCACACGGGAACUGAGCCACGGACACGACGCCGACGGGAGGCGGCAGGCGGGAAGAGUGGACAAUGGGCGAAAGACUGAAUGAGCAAUGACGAGGGAGUGAAGAAGGUAUUCAUAUUUGAAAGCACUGGAAGGUGGGAGAAAGGGAAGUAAACGAAAACGGGGAGGCGGUGAGGGGACCAAAACAAAAAGCCACGGCUAACUACGGG
rnacentral:rRNA from 1 species